CCUACGGGAGGCAGCAGUGGGGAAUUUUCCGCAAUGGGCGAAAGCCUGACGGAGCAAUACCGCGUGAGGGACGAAGGCUUUUGGGUCGUAAACCUCUUUUCUCAAGGAAGAUAAUGACGGUACUUGAGGAAUAAGCAUCGGCUAACUCCGUGCCAGCAGCCGCGGUAAUACGGAGGAUGCAAGCGUUAUCCGGAAUGAUUGGGCGUAAAGCGUCCGCAGGCGGUUUUAAAAGUCUGCUGUUAAAGCGUUAGGCUCAACCUAAUAAGGGCAGUGGAAACUAUAAGACUAGAGUACGUUAGGGGCAGAGGGAAUUCCCAGUGUAGCGGUGAAAUGCGUAGAGAUUGGGAAGAACACCGGUGGCGAAAGCGCUCUGCUAGGACUGUACUGACGCUGAGGGACGAAAGCUAGGGGAGCGAAUGGGAUUAGAUACCCCAGUAGUCCUAGCCGUAAACGAUGGAUACUAGGCGUUGCCCGUAUCGACCCGGGCAUUGUCGUAGCUAACGCGUUAAGUAUCCCGCCUGGGGAGUACGCACGCAAGUGUGAAACUUAAAUGAAUUGACGG
rnacentral:rRNA from 1 species